GCUGGAGGUACUGAAUAAAAACUGAUGUAUGCAGGUAUUUCAUAGCAUGCCAAAGGUCAUUGUGUAGGUCGAGAAAUGCUAAAUGAAGGACCCUAUAUGGCAGUCCUUCUAACGUGAGGUUUUAGUUUGCUCUGCACUCAUCAUGCAGUUCAUGACUGGAUGUUUCUAAGGAUUCAGUUAUCAUUCCACAGCAUGAUGUAAAUGCUGAAAUAUCCAAGAGAGCUUUCGCAAGGCGUUUCUAAAAGGAAUCGAAAUCAUAAAUGGAUCAGGAGCUCGAUGUUCCAAGAACUUCUUCAAACCUUGACAAUGCAUCCUUGGGUAAUGGUUGUUAGCAUGUUGUCAUCCCACAUUGCCCUCAUUAUAUUUGGCAGAAGCUUUGCGGAGCUGAGACUGUCAACCUCCACUCCUGUAAUCAAGUCUGUCUUUCGGUGAAGAUGGUGGAGUGAAAUCCUGAGAAGAAUUUGCUGGCGAUGGUUACGGAGGACUCGAAGGUGGUGCUUCAUCGCUUCAAUUGGCAGAGGCUGUGGACAGUCUCUCUUGGAGAAAUUUUUGAGUCUUCUCGGUGGUGCGAGGACCAGUCCUGCUGUCCAUCAGUUUCUUGUUAAUUCUCUGGGUGAAGUGGUAUGGCUGGUUUUUUAAGCUCCACUGCUGCUACGAGACUUUGGUUUUUUUUGGUUGGUUUUUAUAAUCUUAGUCUGCUAGUUUGUUCAGUGAUAGGGUAUGAAGUGUGUAACAAGUUGUUUGUGGUGCUGGAAAAGAAUUUCGACUAGUUGUCCUCAAUCAUCUGCAGGUGCACGUUAUUAUCUUUGCAUUUGGCCUUUUUUCCUUGAUAAAUAAUUAAGUUUGUCGCAUCUCAGAGGACAGUCUUGGAGGUGAUUGGAUAGAGAUAGGAAUUUGUUACAGGAAGUUAUGCUUCGCACAUCUUGAGACACGCCAUAUUUUUCAGAACAUCCUGAUGUUGAUUCUUCAUGCGAACAUAUCAUAUGCAAUGAUAAGAAUUACCAACAUUAAGUGGCUGGAAAGGGUGAAGUAAAAUCUGAUUUGAGUCUAAUUCAACAAGUUGGCAAUCUCUCCUAUAAGCGUAUAAUGGAAAUUGUAGGUCAUUAAUCAUUUUGAACUUGAACUUGAUCUAAGUUUGGGCUUUAAUUGCACUGUACAUGGAGAUUUGGAUAUAGAAUGUUUAUACAUUGGCAUUAUAAUUAGCAGGUAUAGAGAUAUGUUCUCAGUUUAAAAGGAAAGAGUUUAUCGCCCGCUUCGAUCUUAGCAUAUGUCCCCUCAUAAUUGCGAGAGUCAAUUUUGUACCGAAGAAUCAUUUUCAACUCUUUUUACCUACCGAUAUUACUGUUAGAGCCUAGGAGAAGUUAGACUAAUUUAUACUACCAAAUUCCACUCAUUGAAUUCGAUGUUGUAAGUGAAACUCUUUUUUCCUGUAUUAAGUUUACUGUUGACAAGCUAAGGAUGAGAAUGAAAACUCAGUUAUAUGAAGAAAAUGAGUGGAAAACUAACUAGUGGGUGCUCGGAUGACAGUGAAUGGAUCUUACAUGGAUCUAGUCUGUGAUGCUUAACCACGGUUAUGGGAGCCUCUGUCGACAAUCAUUUGUUUCGUGCUUGGAUGUGAGAAUUGAUUAUUUUAUAUUAUUAUUUUUUUAUCAUAUCUUUAGAUCACGAUUUUUUAUAUAACACCUCUUUUUUGGAAAAAUAAUGCUAAGGAUGUUAAGUCCUAGUAUUGAAAUUGGUUUACUAAGUCGCAUGCCAGAGAGAUUUGUGUUAGGU